rnacentral:tRNA from 1 species
GGAGGGAAGGUACACUGGUAGAGCGCGUGCUUAGCAUGCACAAGGUCCUGGGUUCAAUCCCCAGCACCUCCA